rnacentral:rRNA from 1 species
GUAGUUUUUUAAUUGGAAACUCGUAUGAAUGGUUCAACGAAAUAUUUUCUGUUUCAUAAAAAUUUAUAUAGAAAUUAAUUUUUCAGUUAAAAAGCUGAAAUGAAAUUAAAAGACGAGAAGACCCUAUAGAGUUUUAUAUAAAAUUUAUUAUAAUUUAUUUAUAAUAUUUAAAAUUUUAUUUAAUUUUAUAUUUUGUUGGGGUGACAGUAAAAUUUAUAAAUCUUUUAUUAUUUUUUAACAAUGAUUUUUGAACAAUUGAUCCAUUUUUAAUGAUUAAAAGAGUAAAUUACCUUAGGGAUAACAGCGUAAUUUUUUUGUAGAGUUCUUAUCGAUAAAAAU